CCUACGGGUGGCAGCAGUGGGGAAUAUUGCACAAUGGGCGCAAGCCUGAUGCAGCCAUGCCGCGUGUGUGAAGAAGGCCUUCGGGUUGUAAAGCACUUUCAGCGGGGAGGAAGGCGUUAAGGUUAAUAACCUUGUCGAUUGACGUUACCCGCAGAAGAAGCACCGGCUAACUCCGUGCCAGCAGCCGCGGUAAUACGGAGGGUGCAAGCGUUAAUCGGAAUUACUGGGCGUAAAGCGCACGCAGGCGGUCUGUCAAGUCGGAUGUGAAAUCCCCGGGCUCAACCUGGGAACUGCAUUCGAAACUGGCGGGCUAGAGUCUUGUAGAGGGGGGUAGAAUUCCAGGUGUAGCGGUGAAAUGCGUAGAGAGCUGGAGGAAUACCGGUGGCGAAGGCGGCCCCCUGGACAAAGACUGACGCUCAGGUGCGAAAGCGUGGGGAGCAAACAGGAUUAGAUACCCUAGUAGUC
rnacentral:rRNA from 1 species